GACCGAUAGCGAACAAGUACCGUGAGGGAAAGAUGAAAAGAACUUUGAAAAGAGAGUGAAAUAGUACUUGAAAUGGUGAAGAGGGAAGCGAUAGAGACUAGUCGA
rnacentral:rRNA from 13 species